rnacentral:pre_miRNA from 2 species
UCAACCCAUUUAACCUUCUAACCCAUUAAAUUAAAUGAGUUGAUGGGUUGACUCAACUCAUUUAGUAAAAUGAGUUGAGUCAACCCAUCAACUCAUUUAACUCUAAACUCAUUGGGUAAUGAGU